AGCAGCCGCGGUAAUUUCAGCUCCAAUAGCGUAUAUUAAAGUUGUUGCAGUUAAAAAGCUCGUAGUUGAAUUUCGGGGUCAGCAGGUUGGUCGUGCCUCUGGUACGCACUGGUUUCGCUGAUUCCUCCUUUCUGAAGAACUGUAAUGUCAUUAAUUUGGUGUUGCAGGGAAACAGGACUGUUACUUUGAAAAAAUUAGAGUGUUUAAAGCAAGCUAACGCUUGAAUACAUUAGCAUGGAAUAAUGAAAUAGGACGUUUGAUCCUAUUUUGUUGGUUUCUAGGAUUGACGUAAUGAUUAAUAGGGAUAGUUGGGGGCAUUAGUAUUCAAUUGUCAGAGGUGAAAUUCUUGGAUUUAUUGAAGACUAACUACUGCGAAAGCAUUUGCCAAGGAUGUUUUCAUUAAUCAAGAACGAAAGUUAGGGGAUCGAAGACGAUCAGAUACCGUCGUAGUCUUAACCAUAAACUAUGCCGACUAGGGAUCGGAUGAUGUUAAUUUUUUAAUGACUCA
rnacentral:rRNA from 1 species